rnacentral:rRNA from 1 species
AUUGAACGCUGGCGGCAGGCUUAACACAUGCAAGUCGAGCGAGCGGCGGACGGGUGAGUAAUGUCUGGGAAACUGCCUGAUGGAGGGGGAUAACUACUGGAAACGGUAGCUAAUACCGCAUACCAUUAGAUGUGCCCAGAUGGAAUUAGCUAGUAGGUGGGGUAAUGGCGCACCUAGGCGACGAUCCCUAGCUGGUCUGAGAGGAUGACCGGCUAAUCUGGAACGGAGACAGUGUCCAGCAUCCUACGGUAGGCAGCAGUUGGGAAUAUUGCGCAAUGUGCUCAAGCCGGAUGCAGCCAUGCCGGGUGUGUGAAGAAGGCCUUCGGGUUGUAAAGCACUUUCAGCGAGGAGGGGUUACUCGCAGAAGAAGCACCGGCUAACUCCGUGCCAGCAGCCGCGGUAAUUC